GUGAACGCUGGCGGUAGGCCUAACACAUGCAAGUCGAACGGCAGCACAGUAAGAGCUUGCUCUUACGGGUGGCGAGUGGCGGACGGGUGCGGAAUACAUCGGAAUCUACUUUUUCGUGGGGGAUAACGUAGGGAAACUUACGCUAAUACCGCAUACGACCUACGGGUGAAAGCAGGGGAUCUUCGGACCUUGCGCGAUUGAAUGAGCCGAUGUCGGAUUAGCUAGUUGGCGGGGUAAAGGCCCACCAAGGCGACGAUCCGUAGCUGGUCUGAGAGGAUGAUCAGCCACACUGGAACUGAGACACGGUCCAGACGCCUACGGGAGGCAGCAGUGGGGAAUAUUGGACAAUGGGCGCAAGCCUGAUCCAGCCAGACCGCGUGGGUGAAGAAGGCCUUCGGGUUGUAAAGCCCUUUUGUUGGGAAAGAAAAGCAGCAGGUUAAGACCCCGCGGUUCUGACGGUACCCAAAGAAUAAGCACCGGCUAACUUCGUG
rnacentral:rRNA from 1 species